rnacentral:rRNA from 1 species
GAUGAACGCUGGCGGCGUGCCUAAUACAUGCAAGUCGAGCGAACAGAUGAGGAGCUUGCUCCUCUGACGUUAGCGGCGGACAGGUGAGUAACACGUGGAUAACCUACCUAUAAGACUGGGAUAAAUUCGGGAAACCGGAGCUAAUACCGGAUAAUAUAUUGAACCGCAUGGUUCAAUAGUGAAAGACGGCUUUGCUGUCACUUAUAGAUGGAUCCGCGCGGCAUUAGCUAGUUGGUGAGGUCACGGCUUACCAAGGCAACGAUGCGUAGCCGAUCUGAGAGGAUGAGCGGCCACACUGGAACUGAGACACGGUCGAGAGUCGUACGGGAGGCGGCAGUGGGGAAUAUUGCACAAUGGGCGAAAGCCUGAUGGAGCAAGGGAGCGUGUAUGAAGAAGGUCUUCGGGUCGUAAAGGACUGUUAGCAGGGAAGAAGGGAGGAAAGAGAAUAUAUGUGCGCAUUGACGUUACCCGAAGAAGAAGCACCGGCUAACUCCGUG